rnacentral:sRNA from 1 species
UGACAAAUCUCGCCAUAGCAACAAUUUAUUGGACUGAAGCAUUGGAAUCCUGAAAGUUGGUCCAACAUUCGGUCUUUGGAAUCUCAUUUAUUUGUCAUUAUGCCUAUUGAAUUGAUAUGCAUUAAAUUCUGCUGUAAUUCGUAAAAAAAAGCAUCUUAUAUCAGAACAAUUGUAGAAGUGCAAUUUUGUUUUAGAGUGAUAAGCUUUCAUGUUAAAUUAGUAAAUUAUUUUAAUUGAAGUCUAGUAUGCUCCGUCUAAUUUGGACACAACAACUUUCAGCUCUGAUAUAUAUUUUAAUUAAAUAAAUCAUUAUGUCUGGGAUGUUCAUGCAAACUCAUGUUUUAAGGUAUAGAUUCAUAUUGUUUUACAUACUAGAGGAAAAUCAUUGUUUUCUCCUUGAAUGAAUGUUUUUUUGUGUGGGUGCUACAAGAGAUGUACAUUAUAUUGUAUCAUGUAAUUGUGAGAUUUUUAUCAUACAUAUUUUAGGGGCCACAUGCUAGUUUUGAAGAUGUCGGUGUAUUUUAAUAUUGAGCAGUAUAAUGAAUAUUUAAUAAUAUAUAAAGAGUAGAGAUAACGUUUUGUAAUGUAAUACAGUUGUAUUAAGAAUGUCAUUAGUUUGUAUUAUCUAUAACCAAACAUAAGGACAUCUUUCUUUGUAAGGGCACCUGCAGACAGUAGCCAGAUUAUUUGUUAGCUUGUUUUGUUCUGUGUAGUGCUGCCAUGUCUAAAUCAGGUGUAGUUAAGUCUGAAGCGCUUUUGGCCUCCAUGCCUUUCUCUAUAUCACACUCUUAGUUCAACUGUUACAUGGUUUAUAGCUAAAUGUACUUCAUUGUACAUAAAACUGCAGUCAUACAAAUGAACUAUGUUCCAAAAUAUACUCAAAAGCUAUGCAGAUGGGAUUAUUCAUUCAAUCCUUUCUUGAAAGAAAUUCAGUCAAUUAUUUUCAAAUAUGUUUUCUUGACGGAAGUAUGGUUCUUUCUUCAAUGUCUGUUACGGUCCUUUUUUCAGUGUGUAUUCAAACACUGAUGAUAGCACGAGUUAGUACGAGUUUAUCGAGGGCUUAUUACAUUUAGCUCUUAUGUUUUUUAAAAUGUACAUAUUCUAUUAACAGUCUGGACUUAAUAUAUGAAUUCUAGAUUAUAAGAGUUUGGUGCUAUGUCACCUGUUUGUAUAUGUUUUGAUUUUCUGUGACCAUUAAUCAUUAAAGAUUAAAUAAAAUUACUUCUAUAAAU